ACCAAAGCUAAAACUGUAAUUUCGCGCUGAUCCAAUUAAUUAAAAUAAAUCACAUAUUCAUUACAAUUCUACCAUGUUCUACGAUCUUCUGCCCUUUGCCUUCCUUCAUCCGAUCAGUAGUCUACAAUCUUCUCCCCUUUGCCAUCCUUCAUCCGAUCAGUUUUCUACUGGUUUUGUUUCCUUUUCCGGUGAGUUCAAUUUUCUGUAGAUUCCUACUUUUAAUUUGGCGUGUUCUUUUUGCGAUUUCUAUGAAAGAACAAGUUUGGAUGGAAAAACGUUUGAUCAAUAUCUGAAUGAUUAUUACAGAGAUAGUUUGAUGAUUAAUAUCUGGUAGAUUGAUCGGUUUGGUUUUGAUUUAAAGUCGUGUUGCUCGAUUAUUGAUGUUUUCAGCUUUUCUUCUUAGUUUCAUUGGUUUCGCUGUUUGUUCUCAGUUUUUGAAUCUGCUGCGUCUUCCUCCAACUUUUUGGGUUGCGCCUGUCAAUUACUAAUGCUUUUGUUAUAUCGGUUUCACGUAAGGAGGUGUUUCCUCUGAUAAUGUCAACACUCUAGAGUAGAAAUACUCUUAUUUGUGAACAAUAUGCACCUUAGUUGCUCUUCCUCAAUGUAGCUUCGAGCUUACUCUCUUAGUCAUCUGUUAGAAUUCGUUACAACAAGAAGCUCCGAUUUGGUUGAGGAUGCUGCGAUUGGCUGGUGUUCUUGCUGGGUAUUCUAACGUACAGAGUUUACAGAAUUUUGUGAUUUUUACUGCUCACUGCUAAGCAUGGGAAUUGUGCCAGACCAAUGCUAUGCGUUUCCGAAAUCCAAUGGAGAAAAGCCAUGGAAACAUUAGCAUAAACAACAAACAAUAUGAAGACGAUUCCAUUUUGACAUGACAAGUUAAAAGAUUUGAAGUAGCUGCAAUAUUUUCAUCGAUUUGUCAAGAACUUAUAAUAUCCUAAUCGCUGCUGAAUGUUUCACUAUCAAUCAAAGAAGUUUUUGAAUGGUUUAGUUCUAGAGGUAUUGAUUCAUCUCCUCCAACUAAAAAACCACUUAUUGGAUGCAUGGAUCUUAGAGGUUCCAUCUACCGGAUGCUACCAAAAACUGUAUUCACAAUAAUUGCCGGAGCAAAGAACACUGGUAUAAGUUUGGUGGAUAAUGAUGCAUCUGGUCUAUUUCUACAUUGUCCUAGCAAUAUAGAAUGUAUGAUUUAUGGAUGGAUGGAUGUAUAGCUUAGAGAGGACAAGUAGUGCAAGUUCCUCGAGGCAUUUACACAUUUCAUCUCUAUGCUCAUGGUUGGAAGCAUUUAGCAUUUACAUUGGAUAAUAGAGUAACCUGCUGAAUAAUAAGUUCUUAUUAUCUCAUUCAAUGAUGAUAGAAUUUUUCUAGAUCUCAGCGAUAUAAUAGAAGUAAUUGUGUGGCUUUGUGAA